AAUAAAUUCAUAUAUAUUGCAAUACAUAUAACCAAAGUAUAAAAUUAAAUUUGCAGUGACACGUGGGCCCACGAAUGACCAAAGGUAUCUAGAGAGAUAAACCUACAUAUUUUGAGGAUGCCAGUCCAAUUGUAAUCCUCGAUGAAAUGAGCUAUCUACCGACUAUCCUGAGCCUGAAAGGGGUGGAAAUGAGGGUGGUGAGAUUAUAAAAUCCCAGUAAGUAAACAAAUAUCAUUUAAAAUAUCUAAAGGCGAGUAAAAGGAGACUAUUAAAACAUUUCAUCAAACUGUAAUUUAUCAUUUUUCAACUUAUUUCAACCAAAUGAAAUCAAUUUAUUUAAAUCAAGUAAUCAGUAUGGCUUAUGAAUUUCUUAAAAAGCUUGGCUCAUGCCAAAAAUUAUUAUCAUACUCAGUUAUUUGGGAUACCUUUGCCGAGGGCUAUCCCAAAUGAGUCCGCCAAGGCUAUUAAAAAGUCAUGUACGCAUAAAACAUGUUUUCAUUUUGAAAAUAUAGCCGUUCCUUGGCGUUGGCCGAGUUCACCUUAACGUGGUGGUUUGGCGUGAAGUGAACUCUAGCAGUGUUAGCCUCAGGAGUUAUCCACCCAUGCCUCUCAUACUGAGGUAAGAUAUAACGGGGUUUACCGUGCCCCUUUAAUAGGCUGGUACACGAAAACCCGCCCACUGUAAUAAGGUAAUAAGUUAAUAAUUAUCCCACCAAUCAAUAAAAUUUUGACAGCAUGACAGGGCUAAAAUAAUACUAUCCAGCCUGCAAAUGUAAAAUAGAGCAAUUCAUACAAUUCAUAAAACACAGCCCAGCCAGUCAUGCCAACACAAUAACAUAAGCUAUCAAUUUCAAUCAUAAAUUUACAACAUACUAGUGGUCUCCAAUUACUCUAUUUUUCAAAACCGUCAUUUCGUUUCAAGACAAUUUAUAAAAUAAUUUCAUUUAAACUCAUUUUUGUUUAUAAAACUUAAAAUUUACCAUUUAACUCAUUUUCAUAAAAUUUCACCAAAUUUGAAUUAAAACAUACUUUAGAUAAUUAAAAUGAUGAUAAGGUUACUCAUAGUACUAGGAGUUCGAUAUACUCCUAUU
rnacentral:lncRNA from 1 species